UUGGGGGCUUGUUUGAAUGGUUUGACGGAGUAAAUCUGAAUAUUUGAGCUAUAAUUGAAAUUUAUGGGUAGGGUACAGAAUCCUACUGUAUUAAUUAGACGGAAAGACCCCGGGAUCUUAAUUUUUGCCUGGGGCAGGUGUUAGUUUUUUACUAAUAUUUUGUUCCUAAUUUAGAAUGAUGGUUAAGUUACCCCGGGGAUAACAGUGUAAUAGUUAAGUAGAGAUCUUAUCGAGUUAACUGAUUGCUACCUCGAUGUUGACUUAAGUGAGGCUUAGGCGCAAUAGUUUAAGUUUUGGGUCUGUUCGACCUUUAAACUUCCAUGAGUUGAGUUAAGACCGGCGUGAGCCAGGUCGGUUCUUAUCUAUUAAUGAAACUUAUUAGUACGAAAGGACCAUAAGUUUUUUUAUUAAGUAUGAAGCGUUAUGCCUUAGUUUUGCAAAAACUGAUGAGAAGACUUCCAUACUGUUUAACUAUGGCAAUAGGAAGUUUUAUUACAAUAAUUGCAUAAAAAUAUUGUGUUUUUAUUAAGUAUAGUGUUGAUUUGGAUUAUUAGCAGUUAAUUUUUCAUUUAGAUGGGAGUCUUUUAAGAUUGUAAUAUAUAAAGGGGAUAGGGCACAGUGCCAGCAUCUGCGGUUAUUCUGUUUUCUUUGCUUUCAAAUGGACUGUGCUUAAAUAUUAUUUGAUAAGUUUGGGUGAAAUUUACUUAUGCUUGUAUUUGAUAUUUAGGUCCCAAUAAAUAGCUUUUUGUGACAGGGAUUAGAUACCCCAUUAAUUGGUUAUUAUAUUAG
rnacentral:rRNA from 1 species